rnacentral:miRNA from 1 species
CCUGUCCUUGCUUACUUGGACC